GUCAAGAAUUCAGAAUGUUUCAA
rnacentral:siRNA from 1 species